rnacentral:rRNA from 1 species
UACGUAGGGUGCAGGCGUUAAUCGGAAUUACUGGGCGUAAAGCGUGCGCAGGCGGUCUUUUAAGUCAGAUGUGAAAUCCCCGGGCUUAACCUGGGAACUGCGUUUGAAACUGAAAGGCUAGAGUGUGGCAGAGGGGGGUGGAAUUCCACGUGUAGCAGUGAAAUGCGUAGAGAUGUGGAGGAACACCGAUGGCGAAGGCAGCCCCCUGGGCUAACACUGACGCUCAUGCACGAAAGCGUGGGGAGCAAACAGGA